AUGAGUUUGUUUAUUAAAUCCAGAGAAGUGUUUUUUUAUUUACUAUCAGAAAAACACCUAAUUGGCCCUCAGAACAGCACUCGAGUGUCCUUGAAGGUUGUGACGGCGGGGAGAUUGAGAGUGCACCGGUUGACAUCGCCGCCUCCCACAAAGGGAGUAUUAAAGCGGUUCUGUGCAAAAGGUGUGUGUGUCCUGGACGUAAGCAGCCACUUAAAUUAUCGUUUGAGGAGAAUUUCAGAGCAGUACGGCUCUCAGAGGAACUCCGCUGUCCACACAAUUCUGACAUGCAGGCCCUCAAGGAAUCUUUGUGAAGGAUGAAGGAGCACUUGUAAAAACGGGUAUUUUCAUUGACCUUUCUCAUUUUGCUCAGUUUAUAGACUUGGCUAUUAUAAUUUAGCCGAAAGCAAACUGUCUUUUGCAUAAAAAUCACCUUCCAUCUCUUUAUUACUCACAAUAAUGAGGCUUUAUUUAUUUCUCUCUCUGUUCACCCAUUUAAACGGAUUUAAAUCAUUUGAAUUUAAUCAUUCAUUUCCAUAUUUAUGUUUGUAGUAUUAUGUGGGUCAUUCUACAGAAUUAUUUUUGUUGUAUGCAUCAAACACAGUAAAAGUUUGCAUCAACUCUUCAUUUUCAAAGUCAUUUUUAUCCAUGUAUAUAUGGGGCACAAAUGACAGCCAUGUUGUAGAAUGACCUACACUGUUCAUUAUUUAUGAUGUUUACUUUCUGUUUGGUUUACAGAAGUUGUGGCUCUCACAUGAGACAGGCCUCUCAAUGCAAUGUGGGCACUUGGUGACUGUUUAAUGGCUAGUCUGUCAGAUCUUGCACUAAGAAGUCCAUACAGAACCGCAUUAAUUAUAGCACAAUAACUCUUCUGCAAAAACACCCUUGAUCUAUUUAUCAACAAAUAAAUCCCUUUAAUUCAUAUUUGCUGAUGACACCAACCUUGUUCAUAGUGGGACUGCAACAGAGCCCACAUGUAGAGAAAAUGCUCAUUAUAGUGACAUCCUAGCUUCCUCCAGUAUAGGUAAUUUGUCCACAUUGAUAACGGAAGAUAAUCUUGUCUCAGCAAGAAUCUAAAAUUGUGAAAUGUAUUUGGAAUAUACCCUAAGUUUGCUCUGCUUUUCUGAAUACACUGUAAAAUACAUUUUAGUCAGGCAGCCUUGAAUAGAGGGUUUCAGCUCUCUUUUAAUGGAUUCCUCUGAUCUGAUGUGUUUUAACAGUGUCUUUUUCUAUAUAGAUGGGGAUCAAAUAGCAGAGCUGCAGCAUGUUGGCUUGGACCACCUGCAGGAGAUGAGUUUCAGAGAGCGCUGGGGGAAAACAGCAGGGGGAUGCGUUAGAUUUAUCCAUGUGGCUUGUACUGACAUGUGUUUAUGAUGCAGAAUGUGCAUGUGUGUCUAAAAAUAUGUGGUUUAUGUUGUGUAUUGGAGUAUCUGUGUGCAGAUGGUAGCUCUAUAAUGUCUCAUAUUGGUGCAUAUGUGUGUGUAAGACUUUACUUCGAAAUGGUUAGCUAAAUGUUUAUUUGUAUGGUUAAAGUUAGUCUGUAUUUUACUUAUAAUUAGCAUCAUGUAAAUAAGGUUACACUCUAUUUUGAAGGCCCCCUUUAGAAAUUUUGUUGACUAAGUAACUUUGCACCUACAUGUCAACUAACUCUUAUUAGCGUAUUAUUAAUUUAUUAUUCAGUUUAGUUAGGAUUAGCCAACAUGUACUCGCAAAGUUACUCUCUCUACUAUCUCUAUGAGUAGAAUCUGUUUGAGUGACUAUCAAAAUAAAGUGUUAGCAAAUAUUAAGCCUACAGUCUAAUACUCUAAGGACAGGUGGUUGAAAUGUAGUUGCAAAGUUACUUUUAGUCAACAGAAUGUCUAAAUGAGACUGUCGAAAUGAACUGUUAGAAACAAUAGAAGUCUAAGUCUUCAUUAGGUAGUUUAGUAAAUGUGUGUCUCUCUCUAUCUCUGUGUGUGUGUGUGUGUGUGUGUGUGUGUGUGUGUGAGAGAGUGUGGUUAGCAUCACACCCCCCCUUCCCGAGACCUCCCAUGUUUCUCAGGUGCUAAAAUGUGGCGGUUAAGGCCCCACAGAGAGGUAUAAAUAGGACUCUCUUCCUAUGGAGAGACAGUCUUUUAUAGGAGCAGCAAGCGACUGAGAUCCAGCCAGCAGACACUCUUAGAUAGAUAGCCUGGAGGACAUCCGCACUCAAAAACACACUAGGCCUCCCCUGUGCACCCAUGCAGAAAGGCCCCAGGGGAGAAUUCACCAGCUGAGUCUCAAAAACAAGGUAGGACAACCCGGCUGACUGACAGACUGAAUGCACUCAGCUGUUUGUGUGUAUGCGUGUCUCAAUAGUUCACUUCAGAGCUGAUAGCUGGAGAGACCCAGGGUGCAAACACAAGCUGAGAGUGAGAAAAAGAAAGAGAGAGAGAAAGAGAGAGAAAAUGCCAGCAUGUACUCGCCAUGGGAGUGUUAUGGUAAGCGUUUGUUGAUUUAUUGAUCAGGAAAGAGGACCGUUUUACAUUCUUAUGGAUAGGAUGUGAGCGGAGCAUCACAACAUGACACAGUUGUUUUGAGAGUCUGCAAGGGUUUGACAGCUACGACUAGUCCAAGUGAUGUUACUUCUGAGGUAGUCUUUGUUUUUAUUUGUGUGUUUAUGCAGAUUACGGCACUCUGGGAGUGACAUGGUUGAAACGGGAUAGAAUCUGAUUCAUAGGGAACUGCUUGCAUUACAAUUUCCCUUUAUCCCACUUCAGUCAAUGGCUGUGCAUCAUAAGACUCGCCUCUCUCCCUUUCUCUCGAGUAAUCCAUUAAAUGCCAGCAUGCUCUUCCAUGAACUUAAACUCCUGGUUCAGCACAGUAAAUGACUAUUAUAACUGAUUGACAGCCCUAGAGGUGUCCAUUUAGCAAAUUCUUUGGUACCUGAGAAAGAUGAGGGGCAAAAAAUUAAAUGAAAGAUGAGGGAUAGAAAAAGGACAUAGUGGGUCCCUUAGCGGGAAUGUUGGCGAGGAGAGAAAUUAAGUUUUCAGCAGCAGAUCGAUUUCUGAACACUUGUCUCAUGCAUUUUACAGAGGCUUUAAAUGCCACUUACGGUAUAAUGCUGUACUCUGGGUCAGAGCAAAGCUCUUCCGUUUGGGCUGGGAUUUCAGGGCCGCUUUUAACAAACUAAGCCUAUAGACCUAAGUAAAUCCGUCUGAUUGAGUCACAGCCUUGGAAAUUAUGUUGUUUUGCUCUUCUUUUGUGGAUUUGAAAGCCUGAAACCCGCCUUUUCUGUUACACCUCAGAAUAUUCCUUGGCAGCCAAGCUAAUCUCAUAGUCUCAUAAACUCUUGAUUCAUAAAGAAUUAAUCUUAUUCCUUCUUACUUUCU
rnacentral:lncRNA from 1 species